CCUCUCCAAGCAUAUCGCCCCAUCUUAUCCCAAACCAGGUAGAACACGAGCUCAAUACUGAUCUUUUGCGAGGUCGAAUUGGAGAUGGAUUUGAAGACAGAAAUCAACUUGGAGAUGGGAUUGAAGAUAGAGUCGCAGGUAUAUUCUUGCCUAAGGAGGAUUUCAGAGCCUGCAAUUGAGAUUUCUGCACACAAAACGGGUGAGGAUUUCAUCCUUCAUUUCACUCCUUUGUUUGAUUUGUGUACAACAAAACUGAAAUGUUCUUCUUGGUUCUUCCCAUCGGCGACUCGGGGAACUGAAUAUUGUUUUCUGGUGUUAUGAGGUCGAACAAGGCAAAGGUAGAUCUUGGGUUGCGAAAGCAAUACUCCUGCCUUUGACUUUUCAGGGGAAACUUUGCAUCUCAUCGUGGUGUGGCAAUCCAAGCCUCUGGACUCCCAACAUUGCUUUCGUUUUGGUGCCUUUGGUCUGAAAGUACAAAACAAGUACAGGAGCUGUGGUGUCAAAAAUUCUAGAGUUCCAGCCUUUUGACUUCGACGGUAUAAGGCGAGGAUAGCAGCUGCAGUUGAGAUCCCAGAGUUUCAAUUUCAGGGUGAUGCUUUCUUUUUGUUUACCCACUGGUGUGUUUAGAAUAGGUGCUCUGAAAUGGAGGUUGGGACUGGCUCUUCUUGGCUAUGGAGUUUUGAAAAGAAGCAGGGAGGAAUUAUAUGUGGUGUUUAAGUGGAAUUGACAGAGUUCCUGUGAUUGUAAGGGGCCCUCUGACAGUUCGGUGUAUUAAACAGCCAAAACUUGAGGAUAAUAUCGGCACCCUAAGGCACGCCGUAUCAAAGUUCUGAAACAGUAUUGGCACCAUAAGGCACCGCCACCGGAGCUUUGAAAGCAGUUUCGGCACCCUAAGGCACGCCGAAUGAAGCUCUGAAACAGUAUUGGCACCUAAAGGUACCGCCACUGGAGCUUUGAAAGUGGUAAAACCAUAAAGAGAUGCGGACGGAUCCUCCACCUUUUAUUCCUAUGGAGCACGCUGCGGCUUCCUCUGUCCCCUUUGCUUUCCUUCCUCCUCCUUUUUUUGUCUUUAUGCAGUGCUUUUUAUAUUGCCACGAUCAGGAGUUUGGUUUGUAUAAAACAUAGAGUUUUAGAGUUCAACUUGGAGUGAACUACUUGGGGAACUUGUAUUCCGUGAAGACUACUACUCUUAUUUUGUAGUUGCUUUGUAAUCUAUAUUUUGACAAAACAAGAAGUCUGACGUCUUGUGAAAUCCAAUAGACCAGCUUAAUGACU